rnacentral:rRNA from 1 species
GAUGAACGCUGGCGGCGUGCCUAACACAUGCAAGUCGAACGGAGUCGUUUUGGAAAUCUCUUCGGAGAUGGAAUUCUCGACUUAGUGGCGGACGGGUGAGUAACGCGUGAGCAAUCUGCCUUUAAGAGGGGGAUAACAGUCGGAAACGGCUGCUAAUACCGCAUAAAGCAUUAAAUUCGCAUGUUUUUGAUGCCAAAGGAGCAAUCCGCUUUUAGAUGAGCUCGCGUCUGAUUAGCUAGUUGGCGGGGUAACGGCCCACCAAGGCGACGAUCAGUAGCCGGACUGAGAGGUGGAACGGCCACAUUGGGACUGAGACACGGCCCAGACUCCUACGGGAGGCAGCAGUGGGGAAUAUUGCGCAAUGGGGGAAACCCUGACGCAGCAACGCCGCGUGAUUGAAGAAGGCCUUCGGGUUGUAAAGAUCUUUAAUCAGGGACGAAACAAAUGACGGUACCUGAAGAAUAAGCUCCGGCUAACUACGUG